rnacentral:rRNA from 1 species
CAGUCGCCGCGGGAAUACGUAGGUGGCAAACGUUGUCCGGAAUUAUUGGGCGUAAAGGGCUCGCAGGCGGUUUCUUAAGUCUGAUGUGAAAGCCCCCGGCUCAACCGGGGAGGGUCAUUGGAAACUGGGAAACUUGAGUGCAGAGGAGGAGAGUGGAAUUCCACGUGUAGCGGUGAAAUGCGUAGAGAUGUGGAGGAACACCAGUGGCGAAGGCGACUCUCUGGUCUGUAACUGACGCUGAGGAGCGAAAGCGUGGGGAGCGAACAGGAUUAGAUACCCCGGUAGUCCCUGUCUCUUAUAC